rnacentral:rRNA from 1 species
AGAGUUUGAUCCUGGCUCAGGACGAACGCUGGCGGUGCGCCUUAUGCAUGCAAGUCGAGCGAAGCUUUUCAGUAGUUUACUACAGAAAAUGACUGAGCGGCGAACGGGUGAGUAACGCGUGAGCAACCUACCUUAGUUACUGGGAUAGCCCGAGGAAACUCGGAUUAAUACCGGAUAUUCUUAUUUAAUCACAUGAUUUUUUAAGGAAAGGUCAGCCGAACUAAGAUGGGCUCGCGUUCUAUCAGCUAGUUGGUAGGGUAAUGGCCUACCAAGGCUACGACGGAUAGCUGGUCUGAGAGGACGAUCAGCCACACUGGGACUGAGACACGGCCCAGACUCCUACGGGAGGCUGCAGCAGGGAAUAUUGCGCAAUGAGCGAAAGCUUGACGCAGCGACACCGCGUGUGGGAUGACGGAUCUAGGUUUGUAAACCACUUUCAGGAGGGAAGAAAAUGACGGUACCUCCACAAGAAGCCCCGGCCAACUACGUGCCAGCAGCCGCGGUAAUACGUAGGGGGCGAGCGUUGUCCGGAUUUAUUGGGCGUAAAGAGCUCGUAGGCGGUUCAACAAGUCGGUCGUGAAAGUUCAGGGCUCAACCCUGAAAUGUCGAUCGAUACUGUUGUGACUAGGAUACGGUAGAGGUGAGUGGAAUUCCGAGUGUAGCGGUGAAAUGCGUAGAUAUUCGGAGGAACACCAAUUGCGAAGGCAGCUCACUGGGCCGCUAUCGACGCUGAGGAGCGAAAGCUAGGGGAGCAAACAGGAUUAGAUACCCUGGUAGUCCUAGCUGUAAACGAUGGAUACUAGACGUAGGAACUGGAUUGACGGUUUCUGUGUCGCAGCUAACGCGUUAAGUAUCCCGCCUGGGGAGUACGGUCGCAAGACUAAAACUCAAAGGAAUUGACGGGACCCCGCACAAGCGGCGGAGCAUGCGGCUUAAUUCGAUGAUACCCGUAGAACCUUACCUGGACUUGACAUAUAGGGUCUAGCUAUAGAGAUAUAGUGUGCAUUAGCGCCCUAUACAGGUGGUGCAUGGCUGUCGUCAGCUCGUGUCGUGAGAUGUUGGGU